CCUACGGGAGGCAGCAGUGAGGAAUUUUCCGCAAUGGGCUAACGCCUGACGGAGCAAUGCCGCGUGGAGGAGGAAGGCCUGUGGGUCGUAAACUCCUUUUCUCAGAGAAGAAGAUCUGACGGUAUCUGAGGAAUAAGCAUCGGCCAACUCUGUGCCAGCAGCCGCGGUAAUACAGGGGAUGCAAGCGUUAUCCGGAAUUAUUGGGCGUAAAGCGUCCUGAGGUGGCUUACCCAGUCGACUGUGAAAGCUCAAGGCUCAACCUUGAAACGGCAGUCGAAACUUGUAAGCUUGAGUACGGUAGAGGCAGAGGGAAUUCCCGGAGGAGAGGUGAAAUUCGUAGAUAUCGGGAGGAAGGCCAAAGGCGAAAGCACUCUGCUGGGCCGAUUACUGACACUGACAGACGAAAGCUAGGGGAGCGAAAGGGAUUAGAUACCCCUGUAGUCCUAGCCGUAAACGAUGGAUACUAAGUGUUGCGCGACUCAACUCGUGCAGUGCUGCAGCUAACGCGGUAAGUAUCCCGCCUGGGGAGUGUGCUCGCAAGAGUGAAACUCAAAGGAUUAGACGGCGNGAGAGNGACGACGACGACGACGAGGGAGGAGG
rnacentral:rRNA from 1 species